rnacentral:rRNA from 1 species
GUACUCCCCAGGCGGGGUACUUAUUGCGUUAACUCCGGCACAGAAGGGGUCGAUACCUCCUACACCUAGUACCCAUCGUUUACGGCCAGGAUUACCGGGGUAUCUAAUCCCGUUCACUCCCCUGGCUUUCGCGCCUCAGCGUCAGACACAGUCCAGAAAGUCGCCUUCGCCACUGGUGUUCCUCCUAAUAUCUACGCAUUUCACCGCUACACUAGGAAUUCCACUUUCCUCUCCUGCACUCAAGAAAUGUAGUUUCCAUCCCAUCACGGGGUUGAGCCCCGAACUUUUAAGACAGACUUACAUUCCCGCCUGCGCGCGCUUUACGCCCAAUAAUUCCGGACAACGCUUGCCACCUACGUAUUACCGCGGCUGCUGGCACGUAGUUAGCCGUGGCUUCCUCCUCAGGUACCGUCAUUACUUAACAUUAUUCACAUUAAGCACAUUCGUCCCUGAAGACAGAGCUUUACGAUCCGAAAACCCUCUUCACUCACGCGGCGUUGCUCCGUCAGACUUUCGUC